ACAGAAUAGGGGGCUUUCGGAGGGGAAAUGGAAAGGACAUAAAAUUUGAAAUGUAAAUUAAGAAAAAUAUCUAAUAAAAUGAUUUAAAAAUUCACAUGGCAGUCUUUCAUCAUCCAUGUCUAAAGAGCAUCAGAACAUGUGAUCUGCUGCUGAUGCAUUGGAUCAAUUCCAGAAAGAUCACCACAGUUAUGUGACUAUUAGUUUUUGAAACAUUUAAUUCCAAGCUUCUUCAGAAUUUGGAAGGUUCGUACGAAGAACAUCCAAUGACCAGAGGGCCUUUGGCUACGUUAGUGAUGGGUAGGGAGAGAAAAGUCUUGUGGGGUUUUCCUUAAUGCUUUCCCUUCUGUGUUCUACAUCAUGGAAAGCAUGAACUAUGAUUGGUCUCUGAGGUCUUGCACUAUUUCUCCUUGGUAAUGUUGCCUGAUGACCAGGUAAUGAAUUCUGGUCUUUAAUGUGCAUGCAGAGAUCAUAAUUUCCUAAUAAUUCAAAUGUGUUUUCUUAGAAUCAACAUUGUAUUGAAUAUGUUAAACAUCUAAACUGAUUUACAGUGUAAGGAGUUGUCUGGAUUCUAUGCUGUUAUCACACAAUUCUUCAUGCAUUGAGUUUAUUUAACUCAGCUACAUUGUGGCUGCUCAUUAUUACUUAUUUGUAGACCAUCUAAGUCCCAGGAAGCAUAUUAUACAGGGAAACUACCUUUUCAAUUUGUUAUUUCCUAAAGUUUGUACUAGCAAACAUUAAAUUAAAGUAUCAUUUCUCUGACGUGUGCUCAGCAAUUAAUUUUGUAUCAGCAAAUUAAGAGAGCAGCUUUCAGAUGCACACAUUCACAGUUAACAGAGUCUGCUAGUGAAAACUUGUCAAGUGCCAAGCACAUUUUUUCCUUCUAGUCAUCUUGAUCUACUACAAGUUUGUUCAUUAUCAGAAAAUUAAAUUUAUGUAGUUAAAUAAAUUAUGGACACAGUGAUACUGGGAAAUUGUAUUAAAAAGAAAAAUGCACUGGAGAGAUGGCUCAGAGGUUAGGAGCACUGACUAUUCUCCUAGAGGUCCUGGGUUCAAGUCCCAGCAACCACAUGGUGGCUCACAAUCAUCUGUAAUGACUUCUAAUGCCUUCUGGUGUGUCUGAAGACAGCUACAGUGUACUCACAUGUGUAAAGUAAAUCUUUUUUUUUUUUAUGGGCUGGAGAGAUGGCUCAGAGGUUGAAUGCAGUUACUGUGCUUCCAGAGGUCCUGAGUUCAAUGCCCAGCAACCAUGUGGUAGCUCACAACCAUCUGUAAUGUGAUCUUGGCACCCUCUUCUGGAGUGCAGGCAGAACACUGUACAUCAUAAAUCUCU
rnacentral:lncRNA from 1 species